rnacentral:rRNA from 1 species
GAUGAACGCUGGCGGCGUGCCUAAUACAUGCAAGUCGAGCGAACAGACGAGGAGCUUGCUCCUCUGACGUUAGCGGCGGACGGGUGAGUAACACGUGGAUAACCUACCUAUAAGACUGGGAUAACUUCGGGAAACCGGAGCUAAUACCGGAUGAUAUAUUGAACCGCAUGGUUCAAUAGUGAAAGACGGUUUUGCUGUCACUUAUAGAUGGAUCCGCGCUGCAUUAGCUAGUUGGUAAGGUAACGGCUUACCAAGGCAACGAUGCAUAGCCGACCUGAGAGGGUGAUCGGCCACACUGGAACUGAGACACGGUCCAGACUCCUACGGGAGGCAGCAGUAGGGAAUCUUCCGCAAUGGGCGAAAGCCUGACGGAGCAACGCCGCGUGAGUGAUGAAGGUCUUCGGAUCGUAAAACUCUGUUAUUAGGGAAGAACAAAUGUGUAAGUAACUAUGCACGUCUUGACGGUACCUAAUCAGAAAGCCACGGCUAACUACGUG